rnacentral:sRNA from 1 species
UGAAAAAAGUUAAAAAUAGUACAAGAAAUUUUCCAUAAUUCCUGGCCAGAAAUAAGUUAUUAGUACAAACAAAAAUGUAUCAAAAGUGUGAUAAUCGUGUUGCGGAAGCUGAGAAGCGGAAGCAGAUUGGCACAGUGGCCGAGGGUCCCACGUAGUAUUUCUCCACGUUCAUCGACGUUUGGAAACAAAGAAACCAGUCCCCCAGUGGAAAAAUCAGGCGAAUUAGUCAUCGAUUUUGCUCGUCAGCGUCGAGGAGUUUCACAAUGUGAAAAAGGCAGUUUUGCAGUCUCUCGAGGUUGGCUAGGCAGAUCCAGGAUGUCCAGGACCACGACAAUCUCCCCCCUAAGUCGCAUGGCGAUGGCCCUGACCUACGGUGUUCGAGGAUUUGAAGUGUUGGGAUAGGAAGGAAGCCAGUUGGGCGUUGAAUGUUGAUACGCGAACGCGUACACGCGAUCGAUCUCAAGUACCCUGCGCGAGCAUGGCAUAUGGCAAUGUGGGUGGCUACAAUGCACCUAGCCAGCCGUCUAUGCAGCGUUUGGUGAAAGUUGUGCCCACGACCGUGACAGCGAUAUAUAUAAUGUAAAAAUAUAUUUCGAUGGUCGUGGGUUGCAUAUCGACCCAGGGUCCCUCGAAUAAGUGGGAUUGAUUUUGCGGAUUGUGUUAUAUAGGAACACUGCUGUAUCGACUUCUCUGCUCCACUAAGGGUGAACCGUAAUGUCAUCGAUCGAGUACUAAUAGCGGGCAGACAAUCAUAUCUCUAUGAUCCAACUACAAUCGGUCUCGACCUUGGCAGCCUAUUGAUCCUAUUCAGUCACAGCGUCUCUGGAGUAGUCGCAAGCGUCAAAACCAAACUAGAAUUGUAUUAGUUGGUUUCUAUAAACUUAUUAACUCUAUUCUAAAUAUUCUGUUGUAAAAUGAAAUAUGGAAUUUAUUUCCUCACCAACAAAGUGUUCAUAUCUUUAAA